rnacentral:lncRNA from 1 species
UCCCGUUCUUUAUCUGCGCAUCGCCUCCAGCAUGGCCCGCGACGAGGGCUGGCUGGCCGAGCACAUGCUGGUGGGGCCUUUUUGGGGUGAAAUCAGGGGGUUUUGGGGUUUCUUAUCAUCUGGUUCUUUUUUGGGGUGGUUUUGAGGUGUUUUGGGGUCUUUGUUGGGUUGCGUUGGGUUUCCAUUGGGUUUCCGUUGGGUUUUAUGGUGGUUGGGAGUGGAUUGUGGGUUUUGGAGAACAUCAGGUGAGUUUAGGGUGGUUUUGGGGUGAAAUCAUGGGAUUUUGUUUUUUUUGAGGAUCUGGGUUGAUUUUGGGGUGGUUUUGAAGUUUUUGGGGCCAUUUCUGCUGGAUUUGGGGCUGUUUUGGGUGGCUUAGGGCUUCUGGGGUUGGCUUUGGGGCCGUUUCUGGUGCUUUUGGGGCCGUUUUUGGUGUCUUUGGGGCUGUUUUGAGCAGAUUUGGGUUCUGGGCUUGUCUUUGGGGCCAUUUCUGAUGAAUUUGGGGCCGUUUCUGGUGGCUUUGGGGCCGUUUUUGGUGGAUAUGGGCUUCUGGAUUGUGGAUUUGGGGUCAUUUCUGAUGAAUUUGGGGCCAUU